CCUAGCUAUUUUCUGGGUAAAUUAUCCCCAUGGGAGAGAGGAGAAAUAAAAACACAGAAUGUAAGCAAACAGGGACAAGAUUUGGAAGGAGUCCAUCUUCUGCUUUGAUACGUUUUCCCACUUGUGAUAAGGGAAAGAUUUGAGGGAAGGAAAAAUGGGAGAGGGCAAGGUGAGAGCAGGUUAGGAGAAUAUGUGGUGGGAAGCACCAAACUCUUGUGGCUUGAAGUCUGUUGUCUGCAUUGAGAUGCAUUGGUCAGAAGGCACAGCAUCCUUAGCCUGUCCAAAAAGUCUUCUUCACACGACCUGCUGCUCCAGGAAUCCUGGUUCUCCUUUGUCUCACAACUUCCAAGGAAGGACUGUCAGAGGAAGCUUUUCUGCCCAUCUGAACUUCGGCUCUCCUGCAGCCAGCUCCUGGGCCAGUCUGGUCCUCUCACAGGAAGUUAAAAAUUUCGGGCUGCAGUACUGAAGACAAUACCAAGGAAGACUUUGUGUCACUGUGGUGCAGCCAGGAGGGUCUGUGGGCCUUUCUGAGUAGGUGCACUGGUGGCAGAGAGCCCCUGAGCAGCGCUGCACAGAAGGUCUCAGAAGGACACCAGCUGGCCUAGGCAAUCUGCCUGUCUUACCAUGGCUGGAGACAGCCCUUCAGCAGAGGGAGACUCCAGGCUUUGCCACACCAUGGGCUCUACACAGAGCUCAAACAGCUGAAAUGUAGCCACGGAAAAGUUGCAGGGAAUGGAGCAUGAGCUGAUAUGCUGAAUGUGAUCAGUGACCAGCAGAGACUCCAACCAUGCCUUUCCUGGGAGGCAGGAUGUGAUGCAGGAAGUUCCUGCUGUACAAGCCCAACACUGAAGGAGGAGGCUGAGGUAACAGGUGCUGCUGGUGUACUGAAUUAUCAGCACCGAGGCAACCUGACAAGAAUGAUCAGGACUUUCAAGGGGAGAUGGUGGGAAUGCCACCAGCUGCCAGAAAGGACAACUGAAAGAGAGAAGUAAUUUCUUGCCCACGGUUCAUGUUUACCUUUUCACUGAGGCAUAGGGCAUGGGACUAUUCAGCUGCAGGGUUGAUGAUGUAGCUGUGGAAAACUGGCGAUUAGCUGGGGUGACAGAUCAAAGAGCAGCUUGCCUCUCCAGGGGAGACCUCUGGAUAUGUGCAGACAUGGACUCCACUAUGGAAGCUACUAGGCUUGCAGGGAGAGCAAAAGGAGAUCUCCCUGGGACUGAAGCCCACUGUUUUUAGUUUGUGGUCAUGGCACAUUUGUUUGCAAAGAAGUUUUCAGUCAACCACAAAUCACAAGGUUCAGCCUGCUUGGACUGUGUUUCAGGAACUUUAAACAAACAAACACCAAAUCAUGAGAUAAGGAAAAAAUAAAAUUUCCUGAAGAAAUGCUCUGAGACAUGUGGAAGAUGACCAAACUCUCAUAAAUGACUGUGUGAGCCAGGUUCUUCAAAAUCAUGUUGAAACUCAGCCUUUGGCUUACUACAGGGCUACUGGAACCCACUGUUGGGCUAGAGGAUUCAGUGCAGGGCAUGGCCCAGCCUGCUGGGACCCACACUGCCAAUAGGGGCAGGAGCCAAGUGCUGGUCAGCACUCUCCUUGUGCCUGUGUGUCCCCAGCCUGCAGAUCAGAGGGAUCAGCCUACGUGUGAGCCACACUAUGACCUAUGCAGGCAAUCAGAGCUUUGGAGAUGGAGUGGAUUUGAUCUACUGAUGGUCUUGAUCCUACAGAUCUCCCCUUAGCAGUGAAAUCAGGUGACUUGUUUAUAUAAAACAGUGCACAUAUCAGGUACCUCUUUCUUGGGAGAGGAAUGGCAGCCUGCUGAGGGGAAGUAUAUGGCCUGACAUGCACAGAGGGUGAUAGGAGCCAGUAGGAAACCUGGAUCCUCUUCUCAGAUCAAUCACUGACUCAUGGAUGCGUUGGAUAGGACAUGCUCUGUUUUUAAAAUAUUAUUAUUUAAAAUAAAUAUUUACCAUCUAUCCAUACACUUGCUACAGACUUUUGAAACAAUCACUAGUUGCUAAUCUUACUAAAAUACUUCUCCACCAACCCAUC